rnacentral:sRNA from 1 species
GUUUGCACUUGUCGGGGAAGGGUGAGAACCUUCGAUUAAGGUUCGACUCGAGCGAAAGCGAGAGAACGUUGCCAACAGCAACGGCCUGUAGGGUGAGGAGCGAAGCGACGAAUAAUCCUUCCCCCACCACCA